UCUCCUGGAAAACGGGUGGUAAUGCCGGAUGCUCCGGUUGGAUGCAUGUCCUUCCGGGAAAGGUUCCAUCGGUAUGGGAUGGGGUCGCGUCCUAUCAGCUUGAUGGCGGGGUAACGGCCCACCAUGGCUUCGACGGGUAGCCGGCCUGAGAGGGCGACCGGCCACAUUGGGACUGAGAUACGGCCCAGACUCCUACGGGAGGCAGCAGUGGGGAAUAUUGCACAAUGGGCGCAAGCCUGAUGCAGCGACGCCGCGUGCGGGAUGGAGGCCUUCGGGUUGUAAACCGCUUUUGAUCGGGAGCAAGCCCUUCGGGGUGAGUGUACCUUUCGAAUAAGCACCGGCUAACUACGUGCCAGCAGCCGCGGUAAUACGUAGGGUGCAAGCGUUAUCCGGAAUUAUUGGGCGUAAAGGGCUCGUAGGCGGUUCGUCGCGUCCGGUGUGAAAGCCCAUCGCUUAACGGUGGGUCUGCGCCGGGUACGGGCGGGCUGGAGUGCGGUAGGGGAGACUGGAAUUCCCGGUGUAACGGUGGAAUGUGUAGAUAUCGGAAAAA
rnacentral:rRNA from 1 species